UCAACGGGGAUAUGUUUCAGCGGAGCUUUUUGCAGUGGGCUUUUGUUAACCACUCGCUGGAGAGGAUGGCAGGGUUUAACUCCUUCCAGUGCCCUGCCUGCAGUCCUCAUAUGACGGCUGUUGCAAUUGAUGGAAACAGGAAGCUGUACCGUUUCCGAAAACAAGAAGGAUCAAGUGGGGAGGAAUGAAUCAGACUGGUGCGGGAAAGACUCUGGGAGAGGAGGUAGAGCAGGUUAAUUCCUACAUGUCAAGGGUUGGUUCUACCAGCAAACACAUGACUAAAGCAGCACGGGUGGAUAUGAUCACUGUCCAGGCUUUGGAGUGGAACCGAAGGAAAAGAGAUCAUCUCCACCGGUAUCUCUCACAACGUUAC